rnacentral:tRNA from 1 species
GGUUGUGGCUCAGAGGUAGAGCACUUGCCUAGCAUGCAUGAGGCCCUGGGUUCAAUCCUCAGCACCA